rnacentral:rRNA from 1 species
UACGUAGGCAGCGAGCGUUGUUCGGAAUUACUGGGCGUAAAGCGUGUGCAGGCGGGGGGGCAAGUGGGGGGUGAAAUUUCCCGGCUUAACCGGGAAGGGUUAUGCCAGACUGUCUUUCUGGAGUGCGAGAGAGGGGCGUGGAAUUCCGGGUGUAGUGGUGAAAUGCGUAGAGAUCCGGAGGAACCCCAGAGGCGAAGGCGGCGCCCUGGCUCGCAACUGACGCUCAGACACGACAGCAUGGGGAGCGAACGGG